CCCCCCGUAAGCAUAGUUUAAACAAAACAUUAGAAUGUGAACCUAAAAACAGGAGAAUUUAAUAAUCC
rnacentral:tRNA from 1 species